UGAGUCUGGCUGAAGCUCCUGCCUCUUUGGAGAAGUGGGGCAAUCCCACAGGAAACAUGCUGUUGUUAUCAUUUUAUCAAUAUUAGCAACACAUUCUUAUCGUUCUGUAACUAACCCCUGACAAAUGGGCAAGGUCAUAUCAUUGCAGUAUCUCGGGAAUCAUAAAAAUGGAGGAUUUAGAAGAUCAGAAUUUGCCUUUAGAUAAGGUCAGGACAGCAAGGCAAGGAAUUGGACAAGUCUUGUUGCAGACUGCUCCCGAGUCAGCGGGGCUCCCCAGCUUCAUCCACUUCAGUGCAAACUUAGGAAAGAUUUGUCAGACAAGGAGCUGUUUAUCCCACCCUAUUUCAUUAAAGGAUUUCCUAAUAA